rnacentral:rRNA from 1 species
CACGUGGGUAACCUUCCCUAGAGCGGGGGAUAACAUUCCGAAAGGAGUGCUAAUACCGCAUAUGACCACGUCCUCGAAAGAGGAUGAGGUAAAAGCAGGCCUCUUCUUGAAAGCUUGCACUCUAGGACGGGCCCGCGGCCCAUCAGCUAGUUGGUAGGGUAAUGGCCUACCAAGGCUAAGACGGGUAGCUGGUCUGAGAGGAUGAUCAGCCACACUGGAACUGAGACACGGUCCAGACUCCUACGGGAGGCAGCAGUGGGGAAUCUUGCGCAAUGGGCGAAAGCCUGACGCAGCGACGCC